UCUCCAGCUGUUGCUGGACUACAACUCCCAUCAUCCCUGGCUAGCAGGACAAGUGGCUGGGAAUGAUGGGAGUUGUGGUCCAACAACAGCUGGGGA